GUGGGGAAUCUUAGACAAUGGGCGCAAGCCUGAUCUAGCCAUGCCGCGUGAGCGAUGAAGGCCUUAGGGUUGUAAAGCUCUUUCGUGGGGGAAGAUAAUGACUGUACCCCAAGAAGAAGCCCCGGCUAACUCCGUGCCAGCAGCCGCGGUAAUACGGAGGGGGCUAGCGUUGUUCGGAAUUACUGGGCGUAAAGCACACGUAGGCGGACUGGAAAGUCAGGGGUGAAAUCCCGGGGCUCAACCCCGGAACUGCCUUUGAAACUCCCAGUCUUGAGUUCGAGAGAGGUGAGUGGAAUUCCGAGUGUAGAGGUGAAAUUCGUAGAUAUUCGGAGGAACACCAGUGGCGAAGGCGGCUCACUGGCUCGAUACUGACGCUGAGGUGCGAAAGCGUGGGGAGCAAACAGGAUUAGAAACCCUAGUAGUCC
rnacentral:rRNA from 1 species